rnacentral:rRNA from 1 species
GACGAACGCUGGCGGCGUGCCUAAUACAUGCAAGUUGAGCGCUGAAGGUUGGUACUUGUACCGCCUGGGUGAGCAGCGAACGGGUGAGUAACGCGUGGGGAAUCUGCCUUUGAGCGGGGGACAACAUUGGGAAACGAAUGCUAAUACCGCAUAAAAACUUUAAACACAAGGUUCAAGUUUGAAAGAUGCAAUUGCAUCACUCAAAGAUGAUCCCGCGUUGUAUUAGCUAGUUGGUGAGGUAAAGGCUCACCAAGGCGAUGAUACAUAGCCGACCUGAGAGGGUGAUCGGCCACAUUGGGACUGAGACACGGCCCAAACUCCUACGGGAGGCAGCAGUAGGGAAUCUUCGGCAAUGGACGAAAGUCUGACCGAGCAACGCCGCGUGAGUGAAGAAGGUUUUCGGAUCGUAAAACUCUGUUGGUAGAGAAGAACGAUGGUGAGAGUGGAAAGCUCAUCAAGUGACGGUAACUACCCAGAAAGGGACGGCAACCUACGU